rnacentral:rRNA from 1 species
CCCCUAGAUGUUCUGGGCCGCACGCGCGCUACACUGAACAGUUCAACAAGUCUUAACCUUGGCCGAUAGGUCUGGGUAAUCUUUGAACGCUGUUCGUGAUUGGGAUAGACCUUUGCAAUUAUGGGUCUUCAACGAGGAAUUCCUAGUAAACGCAAGUCAUCAGCUUGCAUUGAUUACGUCCCUGCCCUUUGUACACACCGCCCGUCGCACCUACCGAUUGAAUGGUCCGGUGAAAAUUUCGGAUACCGGCAUUGCUGGCGGUUCGCCGCCGGCGACGCUGGUAGAAGAUCUUUAAACCUUAUCAUUUAGAGGAAGGAGAAGUCGUAACA